AGGCCCGUGCGUGCUGCCAUACCUGGCCGCCCCCGAAGUUUGGGACGGAGUUUUCGCUUGGAGUCGGGCAUGUUUGAUAGCCCCGGUAGGUGGGAUGGUAGGGGUCGUUCAGGGAAGUAGAGAGCUUUGUUUUGCUCUUUUUUUUUUUUCUUCAGGGCACUUCAGUUUUUCGUAGGGGCAAAGAAACAGUCAUUCAUAGAGAUGGACCGUCUGCAAAAGCAGAGGGUCGGGUGUACACAGCUCUUUCGGUUUUAAAAACAUAAAUCAUGUACUUAAGUAAUUGUGAUGCAUGUAUGUGCCCUGAGCUUCCUUUUUUUUUUUUUAAUGUGUACUAUUAUAUGAGAUAUGACUCAUGGGAUGACACAUCUACACAGUGGAUAAUUUCAACUAUUGUAAUUCUGUGCGGGGGGAAUUUCCACUUUAUCAGAUAUAAAGCAUUCUCAUAUGAUCUAUGUGCUCACUGUACUUUAACUUGUUUUCUUAUAUCUGAGAACAUUUAUAUUUUAAUACCAGAAAAACAUGUUUUAAUACCACAAAGAUGUCUUUUGCUCGUAAAGUUUUAGAUUUCCUACACUAAAAUCUUCAGAAUGGACAAAUAAAAACAAGAAAACACAGAGUGACACUUUGUUUUGAAAUCUCGUGGACCCAUAAUAGUACAGAACACUUUUACGGAACGUUUGUCUGGAGGAGCUUAUAAAACUUUAAAUUAUAGUGGGAGGAUGUAGUGUUGACAUAAAACUUGGAAUACACUGAAAAAUGUAUAUGUAUUGCAUCCUCCUAUUUUCAGUUGUAGAAAACCAGCUCUGUUCAUUGUCGCUUUGCCUCAACUGCCCUUUUCUGUCUCCCUUUCUCUUACACGUUCUAAAGAUAUAAAACAGACCUUUGAGAAGAUUAAGACAGAGCCAGACACGCGUGGUAUUGCCACUUGGAGUACUGAGUGAACUCUUAAUUAGGAAGCCUACUACUUCAUCUGCACCCUACCUUCCUUACAACGUGAUGCACACCAGUCCUCCUGCUUUUCUUGUGUCUUUGUGGAUAUAUAAUCAUCACGGUUCAAAACCAUUUAAAGAAAAUGCAGUUUGAAAGGGUUUACUGCCACAGGUUUGGGUUAACCUUUCUCGUUUAAUGAAACAAUGGGAUUAGAAUGGAGAAAGAAAGAGAUUUAUGAAAGACUUCAAGACUCCCCAAAGCUUCUUGCUUGUGACCUAUUUUGUUCACUACUUUCUGAAGAGAAGAAACUAAAGGAUUUCACAAAGCUUUCUGUGUGAUCAAUAGAGUAAUGUUUUAGGUUUAAUCAUGCUGCAUUACGAUGCUGGCAAAAGACUGCUAAGAAGAGUCUGAGAAGGGAGCAAGUGCUGGCAAAGAGAAGCGGUGCGGAGGGAAGGGUUUCCUUGCCGGAGGUCGCGCUCGGCGUCCGAAAUUUGCGUGGGACCGUGGCUUCCCCGACCUUUUCUUUCGACAGAGGAGGCCGGCGGAGCC